UACGUAGGGGGCAAGCGUUGUCCGGAUUUAUUGGGCGUAAAGAGCGUGUAGGCGGCCAUACAGGUCCGUUGUGAAAACUGGAGGCUUAACCUCCAGACGUCGAUGGAAACCGUAUGGCUAGAGUCCGGAAGAGGAGAGUGGAAUUCCUGGUGUAGCGGUGAAAUGCGCAGAUAUCAGGAAGAACACCCGUGGCGAAGGCGGCUCGCUGGGACGGUACUGACGCUGAGGCGCGAAAGCGUGGGGAGCGAACAGG
rnacentral:rRNA from 1 species